UACGUGGGGGGCAAGCGUUGUUCGGAAUUACUGGGCGUAAAGGGCUCGUAGGCGGCCAACUAAGUCCGACGUGAAAUCCCCAGGCUUAACCUGGGAACUGCGUCGGAUACUGGAUGGCUUGAAUCCGGGAGAGGGAUGCGGAAUUCCAGGUGUAGCGGUGAAAUGCGUAGAUAUCUGGAGGAACACCGGUGGCGAAGGCGGCAUCCUGGACCGGCAUUGACGCUGAGGAGCGAAAGCCAGGGGAGCAAACAGG
rnacentral:rRNA from 1 species